UUUUGUAGAAGCUUAAGUGAAAAUGAUACAUGUUAGAAGACAUGAAACAAGGAAAAAUUCUAAGAGUCACGUGCCUGAGCAGAAAUCUCGAGUUGAUUGGAGGCGAACUAAAAGAAGUAGUAUCUCACAAUUACUUGAUAGUGAUGAAGAGCUUGAUAGUGAAGAAUUUGAUAGUGAUGAAGAGCUUGAUAGUGAUGAAAGUUUUGAAAAUGAUGAAGAGCUUGAUAGUAACAAGGGACUUGAUUGUAAUAAAACACCAGGAAGUGAAAGAGAGCUUAACUUAAGUAAAAUUGAAAGUGAAGGAAACGACAGUAAGUGUCUCAUUAACUCCGGCAACAGUUCAACAUAUGAAGAAGAAACGAACAAAAUCAAACACAGGAAUAUUGACUUACAAGAUCAGGAAAAACAUGUAAGUCAAGAGGAUAAUGAUCUCAACAAACAAACUGGACAAAUAACAGAGGAUGAUCAGGAAAAACAUUUAAGUCAAGAGGAUAAUGAUCUCAACAAACAAACUGGACAAAUAAUAGAGGAUGAUUUAGAAGAAGAUGACAUCAAGCGAGGAAAAAGAAAAAGGCUAUCCUCUGUGAUGUGUGACAGUGAUGAGAGUGAUGACAGCGAUAUCCUAGUUAGAAAAGUAGGUGUUAAACGUCCCCGUAGAGUGGUUGAAGAUGAAGGUUCUUCAGUGGAAAUGGAGCAAAAGACUCCUGAAAAAACAUUAGCUGCACGAAAGCGAGAACAACUUCAGAAGCUCAAAGAACUCUCAAAACAAAGAUCUCGUCAGAGACGCAAUAGUGGUAGAGAUUUUGAGGACUCUGAAAAGGAAUCUUGCCCAAGCAGUGAUGAAGAUGAGGAGGAAGAAGAGGAUGAUUAUGAAUCUGAUGAAGAUGGAGAUGAUUAUAUUAUCGAUGACUUUGUAGUGCAAGAUGAGGAGGGUGAUGAAGAGAAUAAAAACCAACAAGGAGAAAAAUUGACUACAUCACAACUGAAAUUAGUAAAACAGAAUUCUCUUUGUAAGUUCAAUAUUAAGAAAAUGUUUCAUGAGUUGUUUUUAUGAUAUUUUAUGAAGUAUCAAAUUAGCCUUUUAAUAUCAUGUUCUAAAUCAUUGACUAGGAACUGUGGUUUCAUUUUCAGAUAACCUUGUCAGUUUAAUAGUUCAUUCCAGUGAUCUCAGGAACCAUUUACAUUUUUUAAAAUUAUUAACCCCCAACACGCGUUUACUUCAGUGAGUUAUGCCUGUCAAUAUUUACCAUUGUAGAAAUCAAAACUCAGAAAUUUAAAAUAUAUUUAUUAAUUCAUUUAAAAUAAUCUUUAGUAAAUUUAUUACAUUAAUGUAAAUAACAAUUUUAUGAAAAGUAACUGUAUUUUUCCCCAAAAUGUGAUAAAUGGCAUUGUUUUACAUUCUUGUAAAUCUUUAAUGUCUAGCUUAUAGAAGCUAGCUAGAUUCUUAUAUCUGCUUUUACAUUCAGUCUGUUGCGACAUGUUGUUUUGGUUGAAGUGUAUGAAAACAAUUUUCCCUCACACAGGUAGCUGGAAAAGGGAGGAGUAUUUUAAUAGUAUUUUAAAAUAAUUGUUGAUAUUCUCAUUUGAUACAGUGCCAAAAUUUGACAAAUGAUACUGUUUUCUUAAAGAUAAUAUGGAAUUCAAAACCAUAUAAAUGAACUUUUAGUACUUGCAUUACAACCAUUGGUCUGUCUUGCAGUUUAAAUAGAUAAUUUCCCCAUGCAUGAUUUUGUGAUAAAAUACAUCAGUCAUUUGGAAAAUACUGGUUCACUGGAUGAUACAGAUCCUCCAAAAUAUUGACAUAUUUCAUUAUAUAUAUAUUUUUAAUUAUAUUCAUUAAUAUCACCACCAAUACCAUGAGAAUAUUUCUCAGGUAUUGAGAAGCUGUCAGGCUCAGAAUAAUAGCACAUACAAGUUUUUCAAAAUUCUAAUUUCUGCUUUAAAACUUGAUUGUUUUCAUUGGCGACAAAACACUGAAUUGUUCUUUUUGAACUGACAGGCUUACUUUGUUCUUUUUUGAGAAAAGUCUGACAGAUUCCCAAGUCUGAAUAACCAGAGCUUGUCACUCUUUCUUUCAAAUAAAAAUGGUAUUUCGUGAAAAAUGAGGCUUUCCCCCAGCACACACAGUUGCACAGCUAUUUUUCCCUCAAACAACCGUUGUACUUUGGUAUGCAGUAUAAGUACUUUUUAUGCGCUUUCCAUUUCAUCCUAUGGAAUACUACAAAGAUGUGUACUUCAGAUUCAAGAUUUAAUACAGUUAAUAGUUUUACUACUUCAAAGAAGACAUUCUUAAGUGAAAGUGGCUUUUUUUACUGUGAGUGCAUAGCAGUAAUGACAGUAAUGAUUACUAGUAGUUUGAUGCUACUGCCAUGAUUCAAGGGGCCAGCUGCCUUACCCAUCGCUGCUUUUAUAUCAUCAAUGAAAAUGUCAACACAGUGAAAAAAGCAGAUAAAUAAUAUUGUUAUUACUUGAAAUCACAGAUUUCAUUAAAUGGACUUGGGCACUGUCAGGGGUCUGCGGACAAACACUUUGAGAACCAUUGGUUUUAUCAGACUUUUUGAAGCUUCUCUCAAACAGUGAAACCUAUCAGAGAUAGGACAUUACUUACAUGAAAAUAUAAAUCAUGGAACCUGAAAAUGUAGGAUAUAUUUAAAUUAUUAUUAUUAUGAUUCCUAUAAUUCUACAAAAUUUCAGAUUGUUUUUAUGAUGUUUUACAACUCUGGUAGGAACAGGGUGUUGGAUGGAUACACUUUUAUUUUUUUUCUUUGAGUGCAUUCUUUCCAAAUAUUUCAGAAAAGGCCAUAUUGACUAAAAUAAAGCAUGACAUGACUUGAUUUAUAUCUCAUGAUUUAUAAUAAAAUAGUGGAUUUUGAGAUAUGAAUCAAAUUUCAAGAAAUUUGGCAGUUAUAGAGAUGCCAGUUACAGUUAUCUCUACACUGCAAGUUAAUGACUGUUUUCCUUAUAUCAGUAGGCACUGGUUCACUUGCCACCUGGACAUUUAAAUUACAGGGAUACUCAAUUAGGAGAUAUCCUAUUUUGGGUUAUCUAGAAUGUGAUGGAACAUUUGCUGAGAGAUGCCCACUCAUAUCAACUCCUGCCAAUUAAUGGAAAUAAAAGGCUAGCAUAUGGGAACUUCAACUUCUCUACACCUUUUAGUUGUUUUUUUUUAAGGGCAGUUUUGGAGUUACAGAAAUAUUGAAUGGAAUGUAUAGAGUUCAAAUAUACCCCCUCACAUACACAGUUUCCCCUAUUAUUAACCUCUUUUAUUAGUUUGGUACCUCUGUUACAAUUAUUAACUGUAGUUCAUACUUCACAACAGGGCUCAUUUUUUAGUACCUUUUAUGGGUUUUGACAAGUGUGUAAUGACAUGUAUCUAUCAUUACACUAUCAUACAGAGUAGUUUCAUUGUCCUCAAAAUGCCCUGUGCUCUAAUUCAUUCUCCUUUACUCCCUCUUCUGAAUCACUGAUGUUUUUACCCUCUCCAUAGUUUUGCUUUUGCCAAACUGUCAUAUAGUUGGAAUCACACAGCAUAUAACUUUUCAGAUUGUCUUCUUUCACUUAAUAAUAUGCACUUAGGUUUCCUGCAUGUCUAAAUGUGGCUUAAUAGCACAUUUCUUUUUAUUGCUGAAUAUUUUUCAUUUUAUGGAUGUACCAUAGUUUUGUUCAUCCAUUCACCUAUUGAAAGACAUCUUGGUUGCUUACAAGUUUUGGCAAUUGUGAAUAAAGCUGCUAUAAACA
rnacentral:sRNA from 1 species